UACGUAGGUGGCAAGCGUUGUCCGGAUUUAUUGGGUUUAAAGGGUGCGUAGGCGGUUUUUUAAGUCAGUGGUGAAAUACUUCAGCUUAACUGGAGAGGUGCCAUUGAUACUGGGAAACUUGAGUACUGAUGAGGUAGGCGGAAUGGACGGUGUAGUGGUGAAAUGCGUAGAGAUCGGGAGGAACACCAGUGGCGAAGGCGGCCGGCUGGGGGUGACCUGACACUGAGGCACGAAAGCGUGGGGAGCAAACAGG
rnacentral:rRNA from 1 species